GCCCGCUUAGCUCAGUGGUAGUAGCGCGUCACUUGUAUGGAAAUGACGAGGUCGGUUGUUCAAUCCAGCCAGUGGGCA